AAUCCCAUCAAUAUGGGUAUCAAAUGAAAGGGCUCAACAAGCAGAAUACAAAAUACUAUAAAAAAUUGAAAUCCAAGAUGGCGGCCGCUACAAAAUGGCGGAUAACGUAGGUUUUAUCAAUCCCAUCAAUAUGGGUAUCAAAUGAAAGGGCUCAACAAGCAGAAUACAAUAUACUAUAAAAAAUUGAAAUACAAGAUGGCGGCCGCUACAAAAUGGAGGAUAACGUAGGUUUUAUCAAUCCCAUCAACAUGGGUAUCAAAUGAAAGGUCUCAACAAGUAGAAU
rnacentral:misc_RNA from 1 species